UGGGGAAUUUUGCGCAAUGGGGGAAACCCUGACGCAGCAACGCCGCGUGGGUGAUGAAGGCCUUCGGGUCGUAAAGCUCUGUCUGGAGGGAAGAAAUGAUUGGGAGCUAAUACCUCUUGAUCUUGACGGUACCUCUGAAGGAAGCACCGGCUAACUCCGUGCCAGCAGCCGCGGUAAUACGGAGGGUGCAAGCGUUGUUCGGAAUUAUUGGGCGUAAAGCGCGUGUAGGCGGUCUUUUAAGUCUGAUGUGAAAGCCCCGGGCUCAACCUGGGAAGUGCAUUGGAAACUGGGAGGCUUGAGUACGGGAGAGGAGAGUGGAAUUCCUAGUGUAGCGGUGAAAUGCGUAGAUAUCAGGAGGAACACCGGCGGUGUAGACGGCUUGCUAGACCAUAACUGACGCUGAGGCACGAAAGCGUGGGUAGCAAACA
rnacentral:rRNA from 1 species